AUCACAUUGAAACAUUGGUUCCCGUACGAUCACCCAAGUUAAGCAAUGUUGAUCCUGGUCAGUACUUAGGUGGGUGACUGCUUGGGAAUAUCAUGUG